GGGGAUUUAGCUCAGUGGCAUAAGCACCUGCCUUGAAAGCAGGCAGUUAUGAUGAGUUUGAUCCCCA
rnacentral:tRNA from 1 species